UAUGUGUCACACGGGACUGCCGGUAUCAAGCCGGAGAGGUGGGAUGACGUCAAGUCAGCAUGGCCUUUAUGUCUGGGGCUACACACACGCUACAAUGGCCAGUACAAUAGGUUGCAAGACCGCGAGGUGGAGCCAAUCCUUAAAGCUGGUCUCAGUUCGGAUUGCAGGCUGCAACUCGCCUGCAUGAAGUCGGAGUUGCUAGUAACCGCGCGUCAGCCAUAGUGCGGUGAAUACGUUCCCGGGCCUU
rnacentral:rRNA from 1 species